CUUAGGAGUCUGUAGAAAAUGGAUAGGUGUUUGGUCUAAAGGCUGUGUGUGGUGCAGUAGGUCUCAAAGGUGGUGUGUGUGCCCUUGUUCCUCGAAUGAAAUGUGGAUCCCCCUUCAAGAAGUGGGACAAUUGGGCGUAUCGGAAGUGUUGUUUGGUAGUAGGGUGGUCUGUUGUGGCCAGUAUAGACAGUGGAGCCACUCCCGUUGGGGUCAUAACUGUACUAACCAUCGGGUAUCUCGUCUUUUGGACCAAUGGAAAUUGGGAGAAGAAGUGUGG